GGUACACAGAAGAAAGUGCUGGUGUCAUGAGAGCCAAGAGGAGGAGCACCUAACUGAUCAUUGAGAGAGUGACACCUGGUCUUAGGCUUAGAAGAGGAGUAGAAGAGAGCCAGUGAAGUCAGGGAAGGCUUCCAAGGCAAAAGGACCAGCAAAAGGUAAGAAAUAGUCCAGUUUGUGUGAAUGUGAGCCCACAGCAAGUGAGAGCUGCUGACGAAGUGUGAGGCAAGUGCGGGAGGCGAGGCUAGAGGCAGAUAGGGGCCAGAAGUUGAAAGCCAGUACAUUUUGCUAAUUUCUUUCUUUUCUUUUUUUUUUGGUAAGACAUGGAGUCUUGCUAUGUUGCUGAGGCUGGCCUUGAACUCUUGAGCUCAAGUGAUCCUCCUGCCUCAGCCUCGAUCUUUCUGCCCCAGCCACCUUAGUGUCUGGGACCAUAGGUGCACGCCACCAUGUCUGGCUUAAUUUCUUAGACCUCAUCCUAAACUGUAACAAGAAACAACUCCAAAAUAGUCUUUGAUGUUUUUCAGCUGAAAGCUAUUUAUAAAUCUAAAAGCCUCAGUCUUUUAGAUCCUGCAACCAGAAACUGGCUCACUGUCACUCUGCCACAUUCUAUUGGUCAAAGUAAUCAAUUACUAACCUAAAUUCAAAUGGGGCCUGGCUAGUUUUUGUAUUUUUUGUAGAGACAGGUUUUCACCAUGUUGGCCAGGCUGGUCUCAAACUCUACUUCCUUUUCCUGGAAGGUUCACUUUGAGAGGAGCUACCCAUCAUAUAUAUAUAAGUAGUCUGACUACUCUCAGACUGCCAUACUUGUAAGAAAACUCAAGCUAGCCAUGUGGAGACAGAUGCCUGGUCAGUCCUGAGAGGUUGUAGCUCUCUCAGCCUAGGAAGUAUAAAGCCUUCCCAAGACCCAGCCCCAGCCACCAUCUGACCAAACUGUAUGAGAAAUCCCAAGUGACAAUCACUCAGCUGAGCCCAGUCAAUCCACAGGGGCAUGAGAGACAUUAAUAAGGUAUUAUAAAAAUUUUUUUAUUGGGAUGUAAUUCAAUACCACACAGUUUCCCAAUUUAAAGUGUCUCACCUGGAAGGUGAGGUCACGAACAAGGAGUCAAGGCAGCCCUAGGCACUCCCUACAGAGCCAGUAAUGGACACACAGCCAGGGAGCAGGGACACAGGGAGGGGAUGAAAUAGCUAUUGCC
rnacentral:lncRNA from 10 species